rnacentral:tRNA from 1 species
GCCCUCGUAGCUCAGUGGAUAGAGCACCGGCCUCCGGAGCCGGGUGCGCAGGUUCAAGUCCUGCCGAGGGCGCCA